rnacentral:rRNA from 1 species
UAUCGCUAUGGGAUGAGCUUGCGUCCGAUUAGCUAGUUGGUAGGGUAAUGGCCUACCAAGGCAGUGAUCGGUAGCCGACCUGAGAGGGUGAUCGGCCACAUUGGGAUUGAGAUACGGCCCAGACUCCUACGGGAGGCAGCAGUAAAGAAUAUUGCGCAAUGGGGGGAACCCUGACGCAGCAACGCCACGUGUGGGAAGAAGCAUUUCGGUGUGUAAACCACUGUCGAAAAGGAAUAAUAGAAGAUUUCGGUCUUUUUGAAUGUACUUUUAAUAGGAAGCACCGGCAAACUUCGUGCCAGCAGCCGCGGUAAUACAUAGGGGGCGAGCGUUAUCCGGAAUUAUUGGGCGUAAAGGGUACGUAGGCGGGCCUGCAAGUCUGAUUUGAAAGCACACGGCUUAACCGUGUGAGGUAAUUAGAAACUACAGGUCUAGAGAGUGGUAGAGGUAAAUGGAAUUCCAAGUGGAGCGGUGAAAUGCGUAGAGAUUUGGAGGAACACCAGUGGCGAAGGCGGUUUACUGGGCCACAUCUGACGCUGAUGUACGAAAGCGUGGAAGCAAACAGGAUUAGAUACCCUGGUAGUCCACGCCCUAAACGAUGAAGUGCUAAGUAUCGGUAGAUUCGGUGCUUAAGAUAACGCAGUAAGCACUCCGCCGGGGGAGUGCGGGUCGCAAGACUGAAACUCAAAGGAAUUGACGGGGGCUCGCACAAGCGGUGGAGCAUGCGGUGUAAUUCGAUGCAACGCGAAGAACCUUACCAGGUCUUGACAGUGUAAAGAAUACUUAAGAGAUUAAGGGCUAAGAAUUAAGCUUGCUUAUUUCACUUUAUAAACAGGUGGUGCAUGGUUGUCGUCAGCUCGUGUCGUGAGAUGUUGGGUUAAGUCCCGCAACGAGCGCAACCCCUAUUGCUAGUUGCCAUCAUUAAGUUGGGCACUCUAGCAAGACUGCCGGUGACAAAUCGGAUGAAGGUGGGGAGGACGUCAAAUCAUCAUGCCCCCUAUGACCUGGGCUACACGCGUGCUACAAUGGCUAAUACAA